rnacentral:rRNA from 1 species
UACAGAGGUCCCGAGCGUUGUUCGGAUUCAUUGGGCGUAAAGGGUGCGUAGGCGGCGGGGCAAGUCUGAUGUGAAAUCCCGGGGCUCAACCCCGGAACUGCAUUGGAUACUGCCUUGCUAGAGUACUGGAGAGGAAACUGGAAUUUACGGUGUAGCAGUGAAAUGCGUAGAGAUCGUAAGGAAGGCCAGUGGCGAAGGCGAGCUUCUGGACAGUAACUGACGCUGAGGCACGAAGGCCAGGGGAGCAAACGGGAUUAGAUACCCCGGUAGUCCUGGCAGUAAACGGUGCACGUUUGGUGUGGGAGGAAUCGACCCCUUCCGUGCCGGAGCUAACGCGUUAAACGUGCCGCCUGGGGAGUACGGUCGCAAGAUUAAAACUCAAAG